AUGUGCUCACACUCCCUGUGCAAAUGCCCCCAAACCCUGGUGCCCCCAUCCCUGGUGCACUCAUGCUCCCUGUGCAAACACCCUCCAUCCCUGGUGCAAUCACACUCCCCGUGCAAACGCCCCCAAGCCCUGGUGCCCUCACACUCCCUGUACAAACACCCCCCAUCCCUGGUGCGCUCACACUCCCCGUGCAAACACCCUCCAUCCCUCGUGUGCUCACACUCCCCGUGCAAACGCCCCCAAGCCCUGGUGCCUCCAUCCCUGGUGCAAUCACGCUCCCUGUGCAAACACCCCACAUCCCUGGUGCCCCCAUCCCUGGUGCUGUCACACUCCCCGUGCAAACACUCCCUGUCCCUCAUGUGCUCACACUCCCCGUGCAAAUGCCCCCAAGCCCUCGUGGGCUCACACUCCCUGUGCAAGUGCCCUAAGCCUUGGUGCCCCCAUCCCUUGUGCACUCACGGUCCCCGUGCAAACACCCCCAAGCUGUGGUAUCAUCACACCCCCAUCCCUGGUGUGCUCACACUCCCCGUGCAAACGCCCUCCAAGCCCUGGUGCAAGCGCAGCCUUGGUGCUCCCAUCCCUGGUGCACUCACGCUCCCUGUGCAAAUGCCCCCAAGCUGUGGUAUCAUCACGCUCCCCGUGCAAACCCCCCCCAUCCCUGGUGCGCUCACACUCCCCAUACAAACACCCCCCAUCCCUCGUGUGCUCAAACUCAUCACACUCCCCAAGCCCUGGUGCAAGCACAGCCCUGGUGCCCCCAUCCCUGGUGUGCUCAUGCUCCCCGUGCAAACCCCUCCCCAUCCCUGGUGUGCUCACACUCCCCGUGCAAACCCCUCCCCAUCCCUCGUGUGCUCACACUCCCCAUGCAAACACCCCCCAUCCCUGGUGCCCCCAUCCCUGGUGCACUCACACUCCCCGUGCAAACACCCCCAAGCUGUGGUAUCAUCACACCCCCCGUGCAAACCCCUCCCAUCCCUGGUGCGCUCACGCUCCCCAUGCAAACACCCCCAAGCCAUAGGAACAUCACACUCCCCGUGCAAACCCCUCCCCAUCCCUGGUGUGCUCACACUCCCCGUGCAAACACCCUCAAGCCCUCACAUCAUCACGCUCCCCGUGCAAGUGCCCCUGAAGUCCUGGUGCACUCACGCUCCCCAUGCAAACACCCCCAAGCCCUGGUGCUCUCCUCCUCCCCGUGCAAACCCCUCCCCGUGCGCUCCCCCUCCCCGGUGCCGUCACCCACCCUCCUGUGCGCGGGCGAGGGUCCCGAAGGAGCCCAGCCCCUCUCUGGCCAGGAAGCCCCCGAAGACGCCUGGGGGGAAGGGGUCUCCUCCGACCUGGGUGGACUCCUCCACCCGCACCUCGCGCGUGGUCUCUCCGCCCCGCGUCUUGCUGAUCUCCGUGCGCUCCGUGCGCGUGUACGUGUGGCUGCUCCGCGUGAAGCUGCGCGUCAGGCGCUCCUGCGCCGACACCAUCUGGAACCAGUUCCCUACCAGGGACAGGGGGACAACCCAACAGGGGGGGACAACCGGAGAGAGGGGGGGAGGGGACACAGGGAGGCACGGAGGGGAUGGGGAAGGAGGGGUGGUGGUGUGGGGGGAGGGGGGGAUGGAGAUGGAGGGGGGGAGGGAGGGAUGGAGAUGGAGAUGA
rnacentral:lncRNA from 1 species